AGCGUACACGGUGGAUGCCCUGGCAGUCAGAGGCGAUGAAGGACGUGCUAAUCUGCGAUAAGCGCCGGUAAGGUGAUAUGAACCGUUAUAACCGGCGAUUUCCGAAUGGGGAAACCCAGUGUGAUUCGUCACACUAUCAUUAACUGAAUCCAUAGGUUAAUGAGGCGAACCGGGGGAACUGAAACAUCUAAGUACCCCGAGGAAAAGAAAUCAACCGAGAUUCCCCCAGUAGCGGCGAGCGAACGGGGAGGAGCCCAGAGCCUGAAUCAGCAUGUGUGUUAGUGGAAGCGUCUGGAAAGGUGCGCGAUACAGGGUGACAGCCCCGUACACAAAAGCGCAUGUGCUGUGAGCUCGAUGAGUAGGGCGGGACACGUGGUAUCCUGUCUGAAUAUGGGGGGACCAUCCUCCAAGGCUAAAUACUCCUGACUGACCGAUAGUGAACCAGUACCGUGAGGGAAAGGCGAAAAGAACCCCGGCGAGGGGAGUGAAAAAGAACCUGAAACCGUGUACGUACAAGCAGUGGGAGCACAGGUUUACCUGUGUGACUGCGUACCUUUUGUAUAAUGGGUCAGCGACUUAUAUUCUGUAGCAAGGUUAACCGAAUAGGGGAGCCGGAGGGAAACCGAGUCUUAAUUGGGCGUUAAGUUGCAGGGUAUAGACCCGAAACCCGGUGAUCUAGCCAUGGGCAGGUUGAAGGUUGGGUAACACUAACUGGAGGACCGAACCGACUAAUGUUGAAAAAUUAGCGGAUGACCUGUGGCUGGGGGUGAAAGGCCAAUCAAACCGGGAGAUAGCUGGUUCUCCCCGAAAGCUAUUUAGGUAGCGCCUCGUGAAUUCAUCUCCGGGGGUAGAGCACUGUUUCGGCUAGGGGGCCAUCCCGGCUUACCAACCCGAUGCAAACUGCGAAUACCGGAGAAUGUUAUCACGGGAGACACACGGCGGGUGCUAACGUCCGUCGUGAAGAGGGAAACAACCCAGACCGCCAGCUAAGGUCCCAAAGUCAUGGUUAAGUGGGAAACGAUGUGGGAAGGCCCAGACAGCCAGGAUGUUGGCUUAGAAGCAGCCAUCAUUUAAAGAAAGCGUAAUAGCUCACUGGUCGAGUCGGCCUGCGCGGAAGAUGUAACGGGGCUAAACCAUGCACCGAAGCUGCGGCAGCGAACGUAUCACCCAAGACAACUUUACGGAGUUGACGAUUGACGGAGCGAAGCGACGUCAAAGCGUUCAUUAAAGUCGAGUUGGCUUAGGGAUACGUUCGUUGGGUAGGGGAGCGUUCUGUAAGCCUGUGAAGGUGUGUCGUGAGGCAUGCUGGAGGUAUCAGAAGUGCGAAUGCUGACAUAAGUAACGAUAAAGCGGGUGAAAAGCCCGCUCGCCGGAAGACCAAGGGUUCCUGUCCAACGUUAAUCGGGGCAGGGUGAGUCGACCCCUAAGGCGAGGCCGAAAGGCGUAGUCGAUGGGAAACGGGUUAAUAUUCCCGUACUUGGUGUUACUGCGAAGGGGGGACGGAGAAGGCUAUGUUGGCCGGGCGACGGUUGUCCCGGUUUAAGCGUGUAGGUGUGUGUUCCAGGUAAAUCCGGUUCACUUUAACACUGAGGCGUGACGACGAGGCACUACGGUGCUGAAGCAACAAAUGCCCUGCUUCCAGGAAAAGCCUCUAAGCAUCAGGUAACACGAAAUCGUACCCCAAACCGACACAGGUGGUCAGGUAGAGAAUACCAAGGCGCUUGAGAGAACUCGGGUGAAGGAACUAGGCAAAAUGGUGCCGUAACUUCGGGAGAAGGCACGCUGACACGUAGGUGAAGUGAUUUACUCAUGGAGCUGAAGUCAGUCGAAGAUACCAGCUGGCUGCAACUGUUUAUUAAAAACACAGCACUGUGCAAACACGAAAGUGGACGUAUACGGUGUGACGCCUGCCCGGUGCCGGAAGGUUAAUUGAUGGGGUCAGCGUAAGCGAAGCUCCUGAUCGAAGCCCCGGUAAACGGCGGCCGUAACUAUAACGGUCCUAAGGUAGCGAAAUUCCUUGUCGGGUAAGUUCCGACCUGCACGAAUGGCGUAAUGAUGGCCAGGCUGUCUCCACCCGAGACUCAGUGAAAUUGAACUCGCUGUGAAGAUGCAGUGUACCCGCGGCAAGACGGAAAGACCCCGUGAACCUUUACUAUAGCUUGACACUGAACAUUGAGCCUUGAUGUGUAGGAUAGGUGGGAGGCUUUGAAGUGUGGACGCCAGUCUGCAUGGAGCCGACCUUGAAAUACCACCCUUUAAUGUUUGAUGUUCUAACGUGGACCCGUAAUCCGGGUUGCGGACAGUGUCUGGUGGGUAGUUUGACUGGGGCGGUCUCCUCCUAAAGAGUAACGGAGGAGCACGAAGGUUGGCUAAUCCUGGUCGGACAUCAGGAGGUUAGUGCAAUGGCAUAAGCCAGCUUGACUGCGAGCGUGACGGCGCGAGCAGGUGCGAAAGCAGGUCAUAGUGAUCCGGUGGUUCUGAAUGGAAGGGCCAUCGCUCAACGGAUAAAAGGUACUCCGGGGAUAACAGGCUGAUACCGCCCAAGAGUUCAUAUCGACGGCGGUGUUUGGCACCUCGAUGUCGGCUCAUCACAUCCUGGGGCUGAAGUAGGUCCCAAGGGUAUGGCUGUUCGCCAUUUAAAGUGGUACGCGAGCUGGGUUUAGAACGUCGUGAGACAGUUCGGUCCCUAUCUGCCGUGGGCGCUGGAGAACUGAGGGGGGCUGCUCCUAGUACGAGAGGACCGGAGUGGACGCAUCACUGGUGUUCGGGUUGUCAUGCCAAUGGCACUGCCCGGUAGCUAAAUGCGGAAGAGAUAAGUGCUGAAAGCAUCUAAGCACGAAACUUGCCCCGAGAUGAGUUCU
rnacentral:rRNA from 1 species